ACGAACGCUGGCGGCGUGCUUAACACAUGCAAGUCGAGCGGUAAGGCCUUUCGGGGUACACGAGCGGCGAACGGGUGAGUAAUGCAUCGGAACGUGCCCGAUCGUGGGGGAUAACGCAGCGAAAGCUGCGCUAAUACCGCAUACGAUCUGAGGAUGAAAGCGGGGGAUCGCAAGACCUCGCGCGGACGGAGCGGCCGAUGGCAGAUUAGGUAGUUGGUGGGAUAAAAGCUUACCAAGCCGACGAUCUGUAGCUGGUCUGAGAGGACGACCAGCCACACUGGGACUGAGACACGGCCGAGACUCCUACGGGAGGCAGCAGUGGGGAAUUUUGGACAAUGGGCGAAAGCCUGAUCCAGCCAUGCCGCGUGCAGGAUGAAGGCCUUCGGGUUGUAAACUGCUUUUGUACGGAACGAAAAAGUCUUCUCUAAUACAGGGGGCGAAUGACGGUACCGUAAGAAUAAGCACCGGCUAACUACGU
rnacentral:rRNA from 1 species